UGUGGUAAAGGGCUACUGCCUUUUCUUAGUCUGAUGGAGAGGCCCCGCCUUCACUGGGGAGGGUCAUAGGUAACCGGAAAUUUCAGCGCGGAAGAGGAGAUUGACUUUCCCGCCACCGGUGGGGGGGGGAACCCUGUGGAGGAACACCAUUAGCGAAGGCGGCUUUGUGGUCCGUAAUGACAAUGAGGAGCGCACGCGGGGGGUGCGACCAGGAUUAGAUACCCUGGUACUCCACGCCGUAAUCGACAAGUGGUAUGUGUUAGGGGGUUUCCGCCUUUUUACUGCUGCAGGUAGCACACAAGCACUUCUCCUGGGGAGUACGUUCCCAAGACCCAAAAUCAAAGGAAUUGAGGGGGGCCGGCACAAGCGGUGGAGCAUGUGGUUUAAUUGGAAGCAACGCGAAGAACCUUACCAGGUCUUGACAUCCUCAGACAACCCUAGAGAUAGGGCUUUCCCUUCGGGGACAGAGUGACAGGUGGUGCAUGGUUGUCGUCAGCUCGUGUCGUGAGAUGUUGGGUUAAGUCCCGCAACGAGCGCAACCCUUGAUCUUAGUUGCCAGCAUUCAGUUGGGCACUUUAAGGUGACUGCCGGUGACAAACCGGAGGAAGGUGGGGAUGACGUCAAAUCAUCAUGCCCCUUAUGACCUGGGCUACACACGUGCUACAAUGGACAGAACAAAGGGCUGCGAGACCGCAAGGUUUAGCCAAUCCCACAAAUCUGUUCUCAGUUCGGAUCGCAGUCUGCAACUCGACUGCGUGAAGCUGGAAUCGCUAGUAAUCGCGGAUCAGCAUGCCGCGGUGAAUACGUUCCCGGGCCUUGUACACACCGCCCGUCACACCACGAGAGUUUGCAACACCCGAAGUCGGUGAGGUAACCUUUAUGGAGCCAGCCGCCGAAGGUGGGGCAGAUGUAUUAGGGUGAACUCGUAACAAUGUAGGUUAAGGGC
rnacentral:rRNA from 1 species